GAUGAACGCUAGCGCUAGGCUUAACACAUGCAAGUCGAGGGGCAGCAUGGUCUUAGCUUGCUAAGACUGAUGGCGACCGGCGCACGGGUGCGUAACGCGUAUGCAACUUGCCUCACAGAGGGGGAUAACCCGUCGAAAGACGGACUAAUACCGCGUACACUUGGGAUAGGGCAUCCUGACCCAAGGAAAUGAAAUUCGCUGUGAGAUAGGCAUGCGUCCCAUUAGCUAGUUGGUGAGGUAACGGCUCACCAAGGCGACGAUGGGUAGGGGAACUGAGAGGUUGAACCCCCACACUGGUACUGAGACACGGACCAGACUCCUACGGGAGGCAGCAGUGAGGAAUAUUGGUCAAUGGGCGAGAGCCUGAACCAGCCAAGUCGCGUGAAGGAUGACUGUCUUAUGGAUGGUAAACUUCUUUUAUACGGGAAUAACAAGAGUCACGUGUGGCUCCCUGCAUGUACCGUAUGAAUAAGCAUCGGCUAACUCCGUG
rnacentral:rRNA from 1 species